UACGUAGGGGGCAAGCGUUGUCCGGAUUUACUGGGCGUAAAGCGCGCGUAGGCGGAGAUCUAAGCGUGGCCUGAAAGCCCCCGGCUCAACCGGGGAGUGCGGCUGCGAACUGGGUUUCUUGAGGACGAUAGAGGAGAGUGGAAUUCCUGGUGUAGCGGUGAAAUGCGUAGAUAUCAGGAGGAGGACCCGAGGCGAAGGCGGCUCUCUGGGUCGUACCUGACGCUGAGGCGCGAAAGCAUGGGGAGCGAACGGG
rnacentral:rRNA from 1 species